UUUCCGGGUUCCUGGGUGUCACGCAGAUCUCAGUGGGACCUCCAAAUGAUAGAACCUAGCAGGGAAACCCCCACUCAAUUCCCGAUUUGGCAGGCACCUAAAGAAUCACGAAAAGGCCU
rnacentral:pre_miRNA from 7 species